rnacentral:rRNA from 1 species
CGGCAGUGCGGGGUGCUAAUACAUGCAAGUCGAGCGGACAGAAGGGAGCUUGCUCCCGGAUGUUAGCGGCGGACGGGUGAGUAACACGUGGGUAACCUGCCUGUAAGACUGGGAUAACUCCGGGAAACCGGAGCUAAUACCGGAUAGUUCCUUGAACCGCAUGGUUCAAGGAUGAAAGACGGUUUCGGCUGUCACUUACAGAUGGACCCGCGGCGCAUUAGCUAGUUGGUGAGGUAACGGCUCACCAAGGCGACGAUGCGUAGCCGACCUGAGAGGGUGAUCGGCCACACUGGGACUGAGACACGGCCCAGACUCCUACGGGAGGCAGCAGUAGGGAAUCUUCCGCAAUGGACGAAAGUCUGACGGAGCAACGCCGCGUGAGUGAUGAAGGUUUUCGGAUCGUAAAGCUCUGUUGUUAGGGAAGAACAAGUGCAAGAGUAACUGCUUGCACCUUGACGGUACCUAACCAGAAAGCCACGGCUAACUACGUGCCAGCAGCCGCGGUAAUACGUAGGUGGCAAGCGUUGUCCGGAAUUAUUGGGCGUAAAGGGCUCGCAGGCGGUUUCUUAAGUCUGAUGUGAAAGCCCCCGGCUCAACCGGGGAGGGUCAUUGGAAACUGGGAAACUUGAGUGCAGAAGAGGAGAGUGGAAUUCCACGUGUAGCGGUGAAAUGCGUAGAGAUGUGGAGGAACACCAGUGGCGAAGGCGACUCUCUGGUCUGUAACUGACGCUGAGGAGCGAAAGCGUGGGGAGCGAACAGGAUUAGAUACCCUGGUAGUCCACGCCGUAAACGAUGAGUGCUAAGUGUUAGGGGGUUUCCGCCCCUUAGUGCUGCAGCUAACGCAUUAAGCACUCCGCCUGGGGAGUACGGUCGCAAGACUGAAACUCAAAGGAAUUGACGGGGGCCGCACAAGCGGUGGAGCAUGUGGUUUAAUUCGAAGCAACGCGAGAACCUUACCAAGUCGUGACAUCCUCUGACAACCUAGAGAUAGGGCUUUCCUUCGGGACAGAAUUGACAAGGAGAUGCAUGCUUGUCGUCAGCUCCUGUCAUGAAAUGGUGAGUUAGUCCCGCAAACGAGCGCCAACCAUUGAUCUUAGUUUGCCAGCAUUCAGUUGGGGCAU